CCUCCUCGCGGAUUCCUUCUUCCAAACCAUGAUUUUCCCUCGCCCUUUUCGAGAUCCGACAAAAAGAGGAAUUGAAAGAGCUUGCGACGAUCAUGGCUAUAUCGCUGCAACAAAGAUCUAUUGUGGACUUGACUAUGAAUUUGAAUGUGGGCACUGGGCAUGCGCUAUUGCAGUCCGAUUAUGGUAUUUAGAAGAACCCAAUUGCUUUUUUUUUUUUCGAUUUGCAUCGAUCAGUUAAUUUGUUGAGUUAUUUCA